GGAGCGGUAGUUCAGUUGGUUAGAAUACCGGCCUGUCACGCCGGGGGUCGCGGGUUCGAGUCCCGUCCGCUCUG
rnacentral:tRNA from 1 species